CUGCGACCCCAGGUCAGGCGGGAUUACCC
rnacentral:rRNA from 1 species